rnacentral:lncRNA from 1 species
CCCCCACCUCCCCACUUUUAGGAACAUGGCCUCCCAGCUACAGACUACAUUUACCAGCAUCCCUUGAAGCUAAGUAUGUUCAUGUGAUGAGAUUCUGGGCAACGGAGGAGGAGUGGAAUUUAUAUGUCACUUCCUUGAAGACACCUGCCAUGAACUCUUUCUCCAGCAGCGCUGAGGAGUGCGACAUUCAGGAAAUGGCAAUGCGGCAGUAAGGAAGGAAUCUGUGCCCUUUAAUGACCUAGAGGAGUAGAUCCACUUCGCCACCUGGACCGGCCAGACUAAUGUGGCCCGGACUCUCAGCUGGACUGACAGGCAAAAUAUCUGUGUCCGUGUACGUUAUUCAUCUGUCACUGGGUCAAGGUCUCCGGGACAGACCCCCUACAGCUGGCGCUCCGUGUGAGGAAUGCUGCGAAGGAUCACGACGGACCCCCCAAAAUGAAGGUGAAAAGGACCGCAGAGUCAGUGAGUCAGAUACAAAGCUGGAAUAAGAGGAAUGACCACUUCGUCUGACAGACCUGUUGCUGCACACAUCUGUACCCUUCGGUCAACAGAACCCGAUGCAAAGAACAGAAAAGGGAGAGAUGUGGGAGUUCAGACAGGCUGGUGGCGUGUCCAGAAUUUAUUCCUUCCGGUGGGUUCUUGGUCUCGCUGACUUCAAGAAUGAAGCCGCAAACCUUUGCUGUGAGUGUUACAGCUCUUAAAGGUGGUGUGGACCCAAAGAGUGAGCAGCAGCAAGAUUUAUUGUGAAGAGCAAAAGAACAAAGCUUCCACAGCAUGGAAGGGGACCUGAGUGGGCUGCUGCUGCAGGCUGGGAUAGCCAGUUUUUAUUCCCUUAUUUGUCCCCACCCACAUCCCGCUGAUUGGUCCAUUUUAUAGAGUGCUGAUUGGUGCGUUUACAAUCCUUUAGCUAGACACAGAGCGCUGAUUGGUGACUUUUUACAGAGUGCCGAUUGGUGCAUUUACAAUCCUUUAGCUAGACACAGAGCGCUGAUUGGUGCGUUUUUACAGAGUGCUGAUUGGUGCGUUUACAAUCCUUUAGCUAGACACAGAGUGCUGAUUGGUGCAUUUUUACAGGGUGCUGAUUGGUGCAUUUACAAUCCUUUAGCUAGAUAGAAAAGUUCUCCAAGUCCGUACCCUACCCAGGAAGUCCAGCUGGCUUCACCUCUCAGUGGGAAAAAUUUUAAAGAUAGUUAUAAGAAAAAGACACAAACCUUCUUGGAAGGCUGGUUGGGGGUUGGUUUGCAUAAGCUCCAGUAAUAGAUCAGGCUGAAGGCAGCCUAAUCCUUACCUUGAGUUAAUAGUUUAGGGCACAGAUACAAAGGAAUGUAGAGCAAUUUAUCUAAAUAGCUUCUUUACUCAUGUGGUCCUAAAACCAACCUUUGAUCAACCACAGGUGCAUAAUUGCUUCUACUCUGGAGGUGGGCAGUGUCAAUUACCCUCUAGUGGUGUUUACUCAAGACCUUUGUCAUUUAAUCUAUACUGAAUAAAUGUGAGCUUUGCUGGCUGAUUGGGGCCACAGCUGCAACUCUACAGCACCCUCCUUGGUGUCUGUAGGUGGCCUGGACCCUCAGCUGGACUGACAGGCAAAAU